ACGUCAACCGAAUAAUUAACCACGAUCAAGUCUAGUUGACAAACUGUAGUAUGGAAAAGCUAGUGAGAAUGACCAAGAACUAUCCAGCUUGUGUCCUCAUGAGAUGAACCAAGUGUUGCCAAAUUAGAAGGCUUUCAGCUUGAGCCACAUAAAGUUCCAUCUACGGAUGCCAAAGCUCAAACCAAGCAGUGAAAUGAGGCACCUGAGACUUACAUACUGAAGCCAGCACGACAGACAUAUAUUAGCACAGCUCAGAAGUUGAU
rnacentral:lncRNA from 1 species